GACCGAGACGCGGGGAUCCAGAAAGCUGGGGAGACGCGCUGGUGGCCUGGGGCGGAGGGCUUGGGUGGGAGUAGAGGUUACACACACACACACACACACACACACACACACACACACACACACACACACACACACGAACACACGAACACACCCGUGAAAGGGCUGAAUGAUCUGGGCGAUUGAAGCUGGCUCCGCACCCCCGCACUUCCGGGAGACAGAGCGACGCGGGUUAAUAUGGUUGUGUUCGCCCCGGGUGCGGGAGCGGCAAGUGGGUUGAAGUUGAGCGGGUUUGAGAGUGGCCCUCCCACGCCGAGUGCGCAUGGAAGUUUAGUUUCGGAGAAGGAUCUGCGCCGCAGUGUGCUGUGCUGGAAACCAGAGAUUUGCUGUGCUCGGAAUGAAUUCACCAGGGUCCCCGGCACAACACUUCAUUUUCUGGGGACGUGCCGGGAGGGGUUCGCUUUACCUCGGAGGGACCCCCUUCUAGGUGUGAAAGAUGCCACCCCGGCUCCUUGGGGUAUGGAAAGCAACAUAUAAAGGUUCGAAACUCAGGAAACCCCAGCGCUCGCCUGCACUAGCACAUACACACAGCCCCGCGCACACUCAGUUCGCGCCCGCCCUUCCUCCCUCCCUGAUUUGCUUCUGGGAAAACAAGCCUUGAGAGCUGCGGACUCGCCCCGAGUCACGGUGCUUAAGCAGGAGUCCCUGGUAGAAAGACUGAAAAAUCCCCUCCCCGCUCGAUGGUGGAUUCAUAUCCUGUGCGGCCUCUAGGAAGCGCUAGACACAUGCUUGCUUCAGAAAGUCACACAUCUUCCCAUGUCACCUGACAAUACAAGGGACUUCAAGGACAUACAGAAGAACAGAGUCCUUGGUCUCUGAAUGACCCUGUGGAAGGAUACUCACUGGCCAGAAGUAGUCCUUCCAGACUUUGAAUGACAAAUCAACUUCAUUGUGCUGGUCCACUGGGAUUUUGGAGUAAAGAUGGCAAUAUCUUCUAAUUCCACUUGGUGUUUAGGAUGCCCUUCAUAAGAAGAAACCCUGGGUCAAAGUUGAGGCUUAUGUUCUGGCUUUCCCAGCUUGAAAAGAAAGAAACUUGUAUACUGUCACCUUCCUAUUGAGGGUGCAAACUUCAUGAGUUGUGAUCCUAUCACCUGGCCCUUGAAAGAAGUCCUCUGGAAGAGCUGAGGCACAGAGAUGAUUUCCAGUGAAGCACUCAGGAAGCUGAGACAGAAGGAUAGCUACAAGUUUGAGGCCUGCCUGGUAUACACAGUGAAUGCAGUGUCUCCAAACAAACAGUGAACACAGCAAUGAAAAUAUGGAGCAUUUAACCAGAGUACUCAUUGCCUGGCACAGCAGGGAAGUCUACAGCCAUGCAGCUUACGCCACUUCCGAUAGGACACUAAUAGUGAGCAAAAGCCAAAGGCCACUUCAUGAUGGCCAUCUGCUUAUAUCCUUGUCAUAAAGUCCCAGAGUUCCGGAAGGCUCGGGUGCCUAUGACAAGCAGGGAUCUCCUAACCAAAUGGUCAUUCUGGGCAAGGUUUGUCUACACUUUGAGAAAAUCAUCUGUCACUGAAAUGCCCAGCUGUAGUUAAGUGAGUAACACAAUAACUUAGUGGCCAAAAAUGGAAUGAAAGGCCAGGUGUCAUGGGCGGACCCUGAGUCUUUGUUUCUUUGGAUAACCCAGCCAUCAAGUAUGCAGCUCAAAGUCGUUCAUGGAGAUGUUAUUGGAUUGCGCUGGGGACCGCAGUUCCUUGAUAAUGAGUAAUUGUUUGCUCAAGCUUUAGCCAAGUGUAAAUAUAAAUAUAACCGGGUGAGUAGAUUUGUCCAUGUUUCACUGAACAUUGUCUCUUAUUGUAUAAGUGCUAGUGAUUCUCUGUUGAUAAAGUGGGAAAUGAUGAACUCUGGAAUCAGGGUGACUUAGGUUCAAACUAGAACUCUGGCCUCAAGUGGUCAGCCCUAAACACAUGUGCAUACAUACAGGCAACGCUAAGCAGAGUCAGUGGGGUUGGUGUGUGUGUGUGUGUGUGUGUGUGUGUGUCUGUGUGUGUGUGUGAGAGAGAGAGAGAG
rnacentral:lncRNA from 1 species